CCAACCGUUCCGUCGGUUGUAGCCUACCUAUGCGUGCAUGACUGGUAACGGUUUUGUGCGAAGCCAUGGGGACAAUGUGUCAGGCCUUUGGCCACAUCAAGACCGCGAGGAUUGAUGGCACCUGCAAGCAUCAAUGCGGGUGAAUGG
rnacentral:ncRNA from 1 species